GUGCUUAGCUAUGUUGUCAG
rnacentral:sRNA from 1 species